UCCAUGCAUCAAAUUCGCCUGAGAAAUGACCCCUCAAUCCAGCCACCUUACUCCCGGACUCUGACUCAUACGCAUGCCCCUCCAUGACUGUCUGGACACUCUGACAACUUCCACCACCAACCGCUUCCAGAUCUGACUGAUGUUCCCCCACAAAGCCCAGAUGAGACCUUCUUCACCGAUGGAAACAGCUUCGUGGAAGAUGGAGUCAGUCUCUUCAAGCCUUACAGAUUCUUCAGAGUGAGAUCCAGGCUACAAUACAACAGGCUCGAGAACAGGCUUGCGAUGUUCCAGCCCCACGGUUUCAAGCCAGGAGACCUGGUGCUGAUAUGCUUGGUUUGUUUGCACCAAGGACUUGACAAAAUACAUUCCCAAAUCAGUCUUGGCUACCCAAUCUGCCACUUUAUUUUGUGUCACCAUGUAUGUUGUUCCACAAGUCUUGUAUUACAAUAAAAAAGGGGGCCGCGAACAACUGGGAUUAACCACUGAACACUAAAAGAGUAAACGGGCCGCCCCCAUUUUAGUGCCCAUUCUGGUGGGAUUAGGAAUAGCCAGGUCAGCGGCUAUUGGAACUUCCUCCCUGAUCCUUCAGGACACAAAUUUUAAAGCCCUAAGCCACCAAGUAGCCAGAGAUUUGGGUCACCUGAAAGACUUGAUCUCCAGUUUAAAAAACCAGGUUGAUUCCCUAGCUAAGAUGGUCCUGCAAAAUCAAAGGGGACAUGACCUCCUGUUCAUAAAACAAAGAGGGUUAUGUGUAGCCCUAAAAAAAAAAAAACAAACCUGUUGCUUCUAUGCUAAUGGUUAACUACCCUAGUUUCUGCUGUAGCAGGCCCCUUAGUUAUGUUACUUCUGCUUUUGCUUGCGGGACCUUGCAUUAUAAAUGCUCUCACUAAAUAUGUUAGACAGAGGGUUGAUACAGUUAAACUGAUGGUGUUGAGACAAAAUUAUGAGAUUUACAAAAAAAUUCAAAGAUAAAUACAGGAAUCAAAGAUUUGAUUAAGUUACAAGAACCAGUGGGGAAUGAAAGACCCUAGUUAGCAAGACAGACUCCAUAUUGCUGCUUGACCCACCUGCCUGCCCUUUAGAUGAACUCAGAAGGAGGAAGCUUAGAAACCUCCUCCCCUUUGAAAGUCCCUUUAGAAAUAACAAUUAUUCAACUAUUUAUUUUAGUUUUGGUACCGGGGAUCGAACUCAGGUCCUUGCACUUGCACAGCAGUCGGGGAAACCACUGAGCUAAAUCCCUGGGCCUCAACUAUUGUUUUACAAAUGUUCUAACAGCAGGACGGUCCACUUCUGUACCUUUCGCUUGCUUUGCUAGUUCUAUCCCAUAGUGGGGCCUAGAAACUGCUGGCCUCAAAGCUGUAUAAAACCUGUUUGUCUCCCCCCAGUUGGGGCUGGAGACCGGGUCCCAGCCGGUAGUAAACUCCUGUGUGGAUUUAAUAUCGGUCUCUGGUUGGUUCUUUCUCACUGGAUGCAACUUAAGCAACUUAGCAAAACCCUGUAUCAAAAUAAUACGACUGAAGCUCACUGCCCAGGCCUUGGGUUGGAUUCCCAGUCCCGGGGAGAACAGGCCUGGGUGUGGAGCCCCAGGGUGGAGCCCUUGCCCAGCUUGCCUGAAGCCCUGGGUUCCAUCCCAGCUGUU
ensembl:lncRNA